CUAGUUGGUAAGGUAACGGCUUACCAAGGCAACGAUGCAUAGCCGACCUGAGAGGGUGAUCGGCCACACUGGAACUGAGACACGGUCCAGACUCCUACGGGAGGCAGCAGUAGGGAAUCUUCCGCAAUGGGCGAAAGCCUGACGGAGCAACGCCGCGUGAGUGAUGAAGGUCUUCGGAUCGUAAAACUCUGUUAUUAGGGAAGAACAUAUGUGUAAGUAACUGUGCACAUCUUGACGGUACCUAAUCAGAAAGCCACGGCUAACUACGUGCCAGCAGCCGCGGUAAUACGUAGGUGGCAAGCGUUAUCCGGAAUUAUUGGGCGUAAAGCGCGCGUAGGCGGUUUUUUAAGUCUGAUGUGAAAGCCCACGGCUCAACCGUGGAGGGUCAUUGGAAACUGGAAAACUUGAGUGCAGAAGAGGAAAGUGGAAUUCCAUGUGUAGCGGUGAAAUGCGCAGAGAUAUGGAGGAACACCAGUGGCGAAGGCGACUUUCUGGUCUGUAACUGACGCUGAUGUGCGAAAGCGUGGGGAUCAAACAGGAUUAGAUACCCUGGUAGUCCACGCCGUAAACGAUGAGUGCUAAGUGUUAGGGGGUUUCCGCCCCUUAGUGCUGCAGCUAACGCAUUAAGCACUCCGCCUGGGGAGUACGACCGCAAGGUUGAAACUCAAAGGAAUUGACGGGGACCCGCACAAGCGGUGGAGCAUGUGGUUUAAUU
rnacentral:rRNA from 1 species